rnacentral:rRNA from 1 species
UUAGAGUUUGAUCAUGGCUCAGGAUGAACGCUGGCGGCGUGCUUAACACAUGCAAGUCGAACGAACCUUCGGGUUAGUGGCGGACGGGUGAGUAACGCGUGAGAAUCUGCCCUCAGGAGGGGGACAACAGCUGGAAACGGCUGCUAAUACCCCAUAUGCCGCGAGGUGAAAUGAAUUUCGCCUGAGGAUGAGCUCGCGUCUGAUUAGCUAGUUGGUGUAGGUAAUGGCUCACCAAGGCAUCGAUCAGUAGCUGGUCUGAGAGGAUGAUCAGCCACACUGGGACUGAGACACGGCCCAGACUCCUACGGGAGGCAGCAGUGGGGAAUUUUCCGCAAUGGGCGAAAGCCUGACGGAGCAACGCCGCGUGAGGGACGAAGGCCUCUGGGCUGUAAACCUCUUUUCUCAAGGAAGAAGAUAUGACGGUACUUGAGGAAUAAGCCACGGCUAAUUCCGUGCCAGCAGCCGCGGUAAUACGGGAGUGGCAAGCGUUAUCCGGAAUUAUUGGGCGUAAAGCGUCCGCAGGCGGCUUUUCAAGUCUGCUGUUAAAGCGUGGAGCUUAACUCCAUCAUGGCAGUGGAAACUGAAAGGCUUGAGUAUGGUAGGGGCAGAGGGAAUUCCCGGUGUAGCGGUGAAAUGCGUAGAUAUCGGGAAGAACACCAGUGGCGAAGGCGCUCUGCUGGGCCAUUACUGACGCUCAUGGACGAAAGCCAGGGGAGCGAAAGGGAUUAGAUACCCCUGUAGUCCUGGCCGUAAACGAUGAACACUAGGUGUCGGGGGAAUCGACCCCUUCGGUGUCGUAGCUAACGCGUUAAGUGUUCCGCCUGGGGAGUACGCACGCAAGUGUGAAACUCAAAGGAAUUGACGGGGGCCCGCACAAGCGGUGGAGUAUGUGGUUUAAUUCGAUGCAACGCGAAGAACCUUACCAGGGUUUGACAUCCUGCGAACCUCUUAGAAAUUUGAGGGUGCCUUCGGGAAUGCAGUGACAGGUGGUGCAUAGCUGUCGUCAGCUCGUGUCGUGAGAUGUUGGGUUAAGUCCCGCAACGAGCGCAACCCACGUUUUUAGUUGCCAGCAUUUAGUUGGGCACUCUAGAAAGACCGCCGGUGAUAAACCGGAGGAAGGUGUGGAUGACGUCAAGUCAUCAUGCCCCUUACACCCUGGGCUACGCACGUACUACAAUGCUACGAACAAAGGGCAGCAAACUCGCGAGAGCUAGCAAAUCCCAUAAACCGUGGCUCAGUUCAGAUCGUAGGCUGCAACUCGCCUACGUGAAGUAGGAAUCGCUAGUAAUCGCAGGUCAGCAUACUGCGGUGAAUACGUUCCCGGGCCUUGUACACACCGCCCGU